UACGUAGGUGGCAAGCGUUGUCCGGAGUUACUGGGCGUAAAGAGCGCGCAGGCGGUCGUUCAAGUCGCGUGUGAAAGCCCCCGGCUCAACUGGGGAGGGUCACGCGAUACUGAUCGACUCGAAGGCAGGAGAGGGAAGUGGAAUUCCCGGUGUAGUGGUGAAAUGCGUAGAUAUCGGGAGGAACACCAGUGGCGAAGGCGACUUCCUGGCCUGUUCUUGACGCUGAGGCGCGAAAGCUAGGGGAGCAAACGGG
rnacentral:rRNA from 1 species